UUAGAGUUUGAUCCUGGCUCACGACGAACGCUGACGGCGCGCCUAACACAUGCAAGUCGAACGAGCGAGAGAGAGCUUGCUUUCUCAAGCGAGUGGCGAACGGGUGAGUAACGCGUGAGGAACCUGCCUCAAAGAGGGGGACAACAGUUGGAAACGACUGCUAAUACCGCAUAAGCCCACAGCUCGGCAUCGAGCAGAGGGAAAAGGAGCAAUCCGCUUUGAGAUGGCCUCGCGUCCGAUUAGCUAGUUGGUGAGGUAAUGGCCCACCAAGGCGACGAUCGGUAGCCGGACUGAGAGGUUGAACGGCCACAUUGGGACUGAGACACGGCCCAGACUCCUACGGGAGGCAGCAGUGGGGAAUAUUGCACAAUGGGGGAAACCCUGAUGCAGCGACGCCGCGUGGAGGAAGAAGGUCUUCGGAUUGUAAACUCCUGUUGUUGAGGAAGAUAAUGACGGUACUCAACAAGGAAGUGACGGCUAACUACGUGCCAGCAGCCGCGGUAAAACGUAGGUCACAAGCGUUGUCCGGAAUUACUGGGUGUAAAGGGAGCGCAGGCGGGAAGACAAGUUGGAAGUGAAAUCUAUGGGCUCAACCCAUAAACUGCUUUCAAAACUGUUUUUCUUGAGUAGUGCAGAGGUAGGCGGAAUUCCCGGUGUAGCGGUGGAAUGCGUAGAUAUCGGGAGGAACACCAGUGGCGAAGGCGGCCUACUGGGCACCAACUGACGCUGAGGCUCGAAAGUGUGGGUAGCAAACAGGAUUAGAUACCCUGGUAGUCCACAUCGUAAACGAUGAUUACUAGGUGUUGGAGGAUUGACCCCUUCAGUGCCGCAGUUAACACAAUAAGUAAUCCACCUGGGGAGUACGACCGCAAGGUUGAAACUCAAAGGAAUUGACGGGGCCCGCACAAGCAGUGGAGUAUGUGGUUUAAUUCGACGCAACGCGAAGAACCUUACCAAGUCUUGACAUCCUGCGACGCACAUAGAAAUAUGUGUUUCCUUCGGGACGCAGAGACAGGUGGUGCAUGGUUGUCGUCAGCUCGUGUCGUGAGAUGUUGGGUUAAGUCCCGCAACGAGCGCAACCCUUACUGUCAGUUACUACGCAAGAGGACUCUGGCAGGACUGCCGUUGACAAAACGGAGGAAGGUGGGGAUGACGUCAAAUCAUCAUGCCCUUUAUGACUUGGGCUACACACGUACUACAAUGGCGUUAAACAAAGAGAAGCAGGACCGCGAGGUGGAGCAAAACUCAGAAACAACGUCCCAGUUCGGACUGCAGGCUGCAACUCGCCUGCACGAAGUCGGAAUUGCUAGUAAUCGUGGAUCAGCAUGCCACGGUGAAUACGUUCCCGGGCCCUUGUACACACCGCCCGUC
rnacentral:rRNA from 1 species